UUUUUAUGUCAACUGGGGCUCUGUACACUUGAAACUCCUUUUCAUGAUUCAAUCAAUUCUCAUUGGAUAAAUUCAGAAAAACGCUUACCACUCAAAUGUUAAGCAUAUUGAUUGUAAAUGCAGCUUCCAAAAAAUAAAAUAAAAUAAAUCUUUAAGAUUGUUGCACGAUUGUAGCCCAAUUUACAUGUGUGUGAAUCACACAUUUGGAUGUUUAAAUUUGCUCAGUCCAAUACCAUUACACAGUCCCAUCAUAGACUAAUAUGGAGAACUACCAUGUUAUUAAAGUAUUUUUUCCUCCUGUCACGUCUUAUCUUGCCUAGGGCACCAGGAGAGCCAGUGCUGCCCCCUCAAAAAAGGUGCAUGAUGCCUCAGGAUAAAAUUAAGUCCAGUCUUGCAUUGAAUAUCCUAUUUCCCUCUGUAACGCACAUUACAGAAAUAAAAUAUUAUUCAGCAGCAUUUGAUAUUUACUUGAAAGGGUAGUUCAACCCAAAAAUGAAAACUGUCAUAGGUACUUACCCUCAUACCAUUCCAAACCUGCUGUGACACUAAAGUUAUUUUGCAGAAAGAAGAAAAAGUCACAGGUCUGGAACGACAUGAAGGUCAGUAAAUUGACGACAUUUUCAUUUUUGGCUGAACUAUUUCGGUAAAUGUAAGAAACUGAUCCAAUCGCUUGAUCUUCCGAUCUCUCAGAAAGUAUUUUGCCCAAAACGAUCAAUUUUUGUUGUGAAUGGAGCGUUCGUGUUUUCACCUUAAGUUCCAUGGUGAUUUGGACAACAUGUGGCUCUUCUAAAAUGUUGGCGCUAACCAGGUCACUAACUGUGCUUUAGAGCAGGUUUACUUUGCCUGUCAAUGACGCCUCCACGACAUUGAUUUGCACUCACGGCCUGCGCAGAAGACACACUCGUAUCGAUUAGCUGUCUCUAUUCCAUUCCUCAGAAAUCAAUGCUGUUUGUGGCUUUGCCAGUCUGCAAUGAUAUAUUUUUGUGAAGCGAUUGGGAUUAAAGACAGCAUUCUAAUAGUGUUUGAGGUUCAGCUUAACGUGGUUUGAUGAGGUGGGCGGAGUCUGCGUUUCGAUAACGUGCCAUCGCGUUCGUCACUGAUAAAUAGUUUUGCCGUCGCGCGGCUGUUGUUUAUACCAGCAGAAGCUCAAUGACUCAUGGUGACACAUUGUGAGUAAGCGCACUUGUGCCCAAAAACAACAAACAACGCGGCUGUUCUCAUUUAGUCCCAAUUGAAGCGCUCGUUCCACUGCUUGGUGAUGGAAUGACCUGUUAGACGAAAUCUGUUCAACAUUUACUCCAACUGUGCAUUCAUAUCGUUUUCAUCCGCUAUAAAUGGAUUUGUUUGCUGUGGAACUGCAUAAAUUCUCCACGAAGUUCAAGGUAGCUUCAUCUGGAGGCGUAAAGUUUGCGCGGAGAAAUAUAUAUGUAUUAUGAAUACAGUGUUUGCUAGUUGGUGGUUCCAGGCAGUUGCGUGAAGCUCCUUUAGGGGGCAGUACAGCUUCACGUUUUUUCCCCUGUUUAGUUGUAAACCAUUGUGGACCUUAGCCCAGAUGUGAUCAACUGGAAAAAGAAGUGCACCUACUCUGAGCUACAAGGACGACACAAACCUGGCAGAGGCCCCCUGCGCUCCCUCCUGCCCUGCCUUAUGCCCACCUGCGUGCCCAUCUGCAGAAGAGCCCCGCCAGUUGUUCUGUUUGUGUGCCAGGGUGAAUCAAGCCCAUCGGCUCUACUCCCAGCAUGGCGUCGAUGGAACUCGUACAUUCUGGAGGAUGAACUGCAGAGCGAUGCUAAGAGGACCCCUGCACGCCUCGUGGCAUGGAGCAGAAAAUGGACCUGUUCUAUUUUCUUCCCUCCCCUUAUCCCUGGAUCCCUCUUCUUUCUUCAUUCCCGGAGAAGAUGCUGCUCCUCUCGACCUGCUCCGGCUGGGAAAAAAACCACCUCCCAAUCACCUCUUCUACAAGAGGGUGUCAAGUCCCUCUGGUGUUUUACCCAGAGUUCAAUAACCCACUCCACCCUCAAUCAAGAGUGAGAAAAGAGGACAACAAUAAGGAGAAGCUGAAGACACUCAAUAGGCAUGUAGAAGGUAAACGCCAAUGGGUGGGAUUUGCAUGCUGAUGGAAUGACGGUUGUCAGGCGGAUUAAAACUAAGGAUGAACCAUGUGGGAGUUUCCUCCAAAGAGCCUGUGGAUAAAGCUCAUUAGCAUACCUGCUCUGUGGAUGGCUGUAAAUUGAACGAAUGACGUGCUGGAGAGGAUGAGGUUGGUUGAAAGCAGAGGGUGAAUAAACAGGCAGACGCAACACCAUAGUGCCACUAAGACCCCACCUGCCCACAAUUAAUCAUUAGAAUAGCACCCUGCUAGUUUUCAUGCCUCAGAAACCAUUAAACAUCUGGUCUCAAUAUGAUGUUUGUACAUACUGUAUUUUUAUAUACAUUGCCAUGACCAAUGGGUUACAAAUAAGAAAAAAAAUGUAUUGAUGAUCAUUAGAAAGUAAGUGUGUACUACUACUAUUACUGCUAUUACUACUACUAAUAUAUGUAUACACACAGACACACACACACACACACACACACACACACACACAUGUGACCUUUAUGGCUGGUAUGGCUCUGUCUAUCUGUCUGUCUAUCUAUCUAUAUGCAGUACAAUCUGUGGUCAUAACAGAAUGUCUGGAAGUUAAGACGUUUUUAAUCUUAAAGGGGGGGGUGGAAUGCUAUUUCAUGCAUACUGAGUUUUUUACACUGUUAAAGAGUUGGAUUCCCACGCUAAACAUAAAUUGACAUAAGUUAAGUAGUACGUUUGAAGGAGUAUUUUUGUUCCAAAAAUACUCCUUCCGGUUUGUCACAAGUUUCGGAAAGUUUUUUUCGAGUAUGGCUCUGUGUGACGUUAGAUGGAGCGGAAUUUCCUUAUAUGGGUCCUAGGGCACGUCUGCCGGAAGAGCGCACGCUCCCGUAUAGCAGAGCACUGAGAGCACAGACAUUCACUGACCAGAGCGAGAGUUUCGCGAAAUGUCACAAAAGAAGUGUGUUUUUGGUUGCCAGGGCAAGACAACCCUGCACAGAUUACCAAAAAAAAAAAACCGCAUUAAGGGACCAGUGGAUGGAGUUUAUUUUUACAGAGCAUCAACGGAGUUGUGCAAGUGUUUGUGUUUGUUCCCUGCAUUUCGAAGAUACUUGUUUUACAAACAAGGCCCAGUUUGACGCCGGAUUUGCACAUCGUUUAUUUCUUAAGGAUAAUGCAAUCCCAAUGAAAAAGGGUCACGAUCGUGUGUUGGAACCGCAUUCGGUGAGUAAAACUGCUUCAAAUAUCUCUGUGUUGUUUACUUAGCUAUCGGCGCGUAAGCACAUCAAGUAAACAACAUGCGAUGUUGUCAUCAAACUGCACUUUCCACAUGUACAGCUUAAAAAAAAAAAAAAAAGACAACACAAAGUGGAACUUAGUCAUCUUCCAAAACCGCUAAGCAAAUAUAUACAGUUUCAGUAAUAAUAAUUAUAAAUAAUUCCUUACAUUUAUAUAGCGCUUUUCUAGACACUCAAAACGCUUACAUAGUCAGGGGGUAUCUCCUCAUCCACCACCAGUGUGCAGCAUCCACCUGGAUGAUGCGACGGCAGCCAUAGUGCGCCAGAACGCCCACCUCACACCAGCUUACUGGUGGAGAGGAGACAGAGUGAUGAAGCCAAUCAGCAGAUAUGGGGAUUGUUAGGAGGCCAUGAUGGUCAGAGGCCAAUGGGCGAAUUUAGCCAGGAUGCCGAGGUCACACCUCUACUCUUUUCGAAAGACAUCCUGGGAUUUUUAAUGACCACAGAGAGUCAGGACCUCGGUUUAGCGUCUCAUCCGAAGGACGUACAUUCCACAUAGAGAUGUUAUUGCUGAUGCUGCUCUUGUUAAAUUUCAGCUUCUGGAUCUGAUUCUGGAUCAUAAAUAUACGCUGAAUCUGACUGUUAGCCAUGGUUUGUUUUGGAUGUGUUUUUCCUAACGGUAAUGUCACAGCUUCCAAACGCUCUCAACGCAAAAGCCUACUCGUGCUCGUGAUUCUUUAGCUCCGCCCACAUGUCGUUUUUUUCCGGGAAAAAUCGGUACAGACUAUCUUUCUCUUAUGAAUAUAAUAAAACUAAAGUCUUUUUGGAGUUAUGAAGGAUGCAGUACUACUCUAUAGGUACUCAAGAUUAACAGGAUAUUGAGUGAAAACGAGCAUUUCACCCCCCCUUUAAUGUCAACUGUCCUUUUCAUUAAGUAGUUUGAUAUAGUGUUCUGCUAAAAUAAAACAUGCUUUCAGUUUUCUUUAUCAUAUGUCAGCAGCCAGUGUUUGAUAAAAAGCUUAAAAAAUAUAUUAAAUAUUUGGCAUUCCAAAAUUCAAGUUCUAACAACAAAACUAAACUUCCUUUUUUGUUGAUUAAGAAGCGUAUUUGAACUUAAUUGAAGAAUUUCCCCUAACCGAAUUAAGCUAAUUCAAAACAUAUUAUUUUGGAGUAAAUUUUAUGUAAUUUCUGUUUGUUUUUGUGAGAUUUUUCCCCUUUCAAUUUCCUACCCUCAUUCAGACACCCUGCUGCACAAUACAAACAUCUGUUGUAGUUUUCUUUUGUUCACUCAAUAUAAUUAAAACCACUUAUUGAGAGAGGGAGAGUGCGGGAUACACUAGCGGUCAAUCUGUACAGCUGAUAAUGGAGGUUGAACUGGAAGCCAAGUAGGAUUGCAUUUAUGAGGCAUUUGUUGUAUUAAGGGAAAGCUGGAGAAAAAAAGCUCCAUUCUGUCUCGCCGUACAUCUCCUUAGAGAUGAACGGCCUGCCAGGCUGCCCGUGAUGGCCUGGGCCAAGGUGCCAUAUUGUAGCAAUUGGUCCUGCAUGCUGGUGGCUGUCACUUAGCUCUGCGUGUGUGACAGCCUGAGCUCUCUGUCUGUCUGCCAGGCCUCCCUGCACCCCCCACCCCCCAUCCAUCUGCUUUCGGACCCUCAGAGAUGGCACCUUGCGCCCAGAGACUUAGCUCGCUAUGCUUCCCAUGACUGCGUUACAUAUUGAACGAGCCGCUCCAAGCUCAGUUCCUCUCCCGUUGUGCCACAUUGCUCUGAACAGAAUUCGCCUCACCCUCCUUUCCUGAAAGUUGCCCACCUGUGGUCCCUGUGAAGACUGGUCCAAGGGGUCUAGGUUUAGCUGAUGAGUUGGCUCUUGCUGGUUAAACCUGUACCUACACCAUCUGGGAGCAGCAUUAUUCCCCAUUGACAGGCAUUCAAAAAAUAAAAUGAAACGUUUACAAACAA